AUAAGUGGGAUCGCGUUGUUUGAU
rnacentral:siRNA from 1 species